rnacentral:rRNA from 1 species
CUAUACAUGACUCUGCGCAUAUCAAUAAGCGGAGGAAAAGAAACUAACAAGGAUUCCCUUAGUAACGGCGAGUGAAGCGGGAAGAGCUCAAAUUUGAAAUCUUCAAGGUUCUACCUUGACGAAUUGUAGUUUAUAGAAGUGUUUUCUGUUAGUAGAGUGGCAAAAGUUCUUUGGAAUAGGACAUCAUAGAGGGUGAGAAUCCCGUAUUUGGUCAUUCCCUUCUAGCUUUGUGAUACACUUUCAACGAGUCGGAUUGUUUGGGAAUGCAGUCCAAAAUGGGUGGUAAAUUUCAUCUAAAGCUAAUAUUGGCGAGAGACCGAUAGCGAACAAGUACCGUGAGGGAAAGAUGAAAAGAACUUUGAAAAGAGAGUUAAACAGUACGUGAAAUUGUCAAAAGGGAAGCGUUUGACACCAGUGUUGUUUUUCCGAAAAUCAAUUACGAAUGUUUUAGUUUUUAAGAAGUUAUGACUUCAUCGGCUUGCUUCUCUCUUUAUGAGAACUUUCUUAAUGCACUUUUCGGUUAACAAGUCAACAUCAAUUUCUUUUGUUGUAAAAGGGUAUGAGGAAGGUGGCUUUCUUUUCGGAGAAAGUGUUUAUAGCCUUGUACCUCUGCAAUCGGAGAGAUUGAGGUCUGCAGCGUAGAUCCUUCGGGGUUAGAUACAUUUGUGCUAAGUUAUAGCUUUUCAUAGACAACUUGUUGACUAUGUUAAGUCUUGUAGCUUACUCGCUUAUGCUAUUUUACCUACGCUUAGGAUGUUGAUAUGCAUGACUGAUAU